GAUGAAGAACGCAGCGAAAUGCGAUACGUAGUGUGAAUUGCAGAAUUCAGUGCAUCAUCGAAUCUUUGAACGCACAUUGCACCUCUCGGUAUUCCGGGAGGUAUGCCUGUUCGAGCGUCAUUUGUACCCUCAAGCUCUGCUUGGUGUUGGGUGUUUGUUCCGCCUCUGUGUGUGAACUCGCCUCAAAACAAUUGGCAGCCGGCGUACUUGUUUCGGAGCGCAGCACAUUUUGCGAUCCAGAUCAACGUACAGCGGCAUCCAAGAAGCCUUAUUUAACGCUCUUGACCUCGGAUCAGGUAGGGAUACCCGCUGAACUUAAGCAUAUCAAUAAGCGGAGGA
rnacentral:misc_RNA from 1 species